rnacentral:piRNA from 1 species
UGNGUUAGUUGCUUAGUGUGAUAGGUUUCCU